rnacentral:lncRNA from 1 species
CACUUAUCAAACACUUGCCCUUAGUCUCAGGAGGUACUGUGGGAGCUACACAAACUAGGUAGAUGCUCCCUUUUGUACGGGGUCUUCAAGCCUCCCUGAUAGAUGGCAGGACGGCAUGUCAGUAGGUAUGUGGAGACCGAGGCACCAUGUUUCCUCCAGCAAACGGGUGAUGAGCAUCUUCCAGCAGAGGCAGAGAAAACAUGGAAAAGACAAGCAGCAGAGUGAGAACAGAACGGAAGACUGGGCCUGACAUACCUGAGUGGGGAGUGGCCUUAAGAGGAACUGGCUUGGAUGACCA